rnacentral:rRNA from 1 species
UACGUAGGCAGCAAGCGUUGUUCGGAGUUACUGGGCGUAAAGAGUGUGUAGGCGGUCCUAUAAGUUCCGUGUGAAAUCUCCCGGCUCAACUGGGAGGGUGCGCGGAAGACUGUAGGGCUUGAGUGUGGGAGAGGUAAGCGGAAUUCCUGGUGUAGCGGUGAAAUGCGUAGAUAUCAGGAGGAACACCUGUGGUGUAGACAGCUUACUGGACCAUAACUGACGCUGAGGCACGAAAGCGUGGGUAGCAAACAGG